rnacentral:lncRNA from 1 species
GAGCCAUCUCUCCAGCCCGAAAGAGAGAUUUGUAUAUGUGCAUACGUCUGUGAGUGUGUGCACACCAGUGUGUGGUAAAUGUGUGCACCCAUGUAUGUGUGUGCAGAGGCACCCAGAGAGACUGGGUGUCCUUAUCCGUCACUCUAUGGGUAAUCUUGGGAAGCAGGUUAUCUCCCUGACCCUGGGUUCGCACAGGAUGCACAGGUUCUCAUGUGGGUACCGGUCCUCAUGAUGGUAUAGCAAGUACCCUUAACCGGUGAGCAGUCACUGCAGACACCCCCAGCCCUGCUCUUUGAGUCAGGGGUCAUUUGUAAUACUGGCUGGCCCGGAACUUUCUGUGUAGCCAAGGAUGACCCUGAACUUAUGUUCUUCCUGCCUCUGCGUCCUGGAUGCUGGGAUUGGGAUUACGGGGAGGUCCAACCCAGGACUUCAUGCAUGCUAGGCAAGUACUGCACUGGCUGAACGACUCUUCCAGCCCCAAGAAUGGGAUAUUAAGGGGUUGGGGAUUUAGCUCAGUGGUACAGAGCUUGCCUAGCAAGCGCAAGGCCCUGGGUUCGGUCCCCAGCUCCGAAAAA